rnacentral:rRNA from 1 species
AGUCGAACGAAGAGCUUGGAGUAGCAAUACCCUGAGUACUCUUAGUGGCGAACGGGUGAGUAACGCGUUGGUGACCUACCCCAAAGAUGGGGAUGACAGUUCGAAAGGACUGCUAAUACCUUAUGUUGUCAUUUUGAUUAGAUGCUAAAUGACUAAAGGAGCUUGCUCCGCUUUGGGAGGGGCCUGCGUCCCAUCAGCUAGUUGGUAGGGUAAUGGCCUACCAAGGCGAUGACGGGUAGGGGACCUGAGAGGGUGGCCCCCCACAAUGGAACUGAAACACGGUCCAUACACCUACGGGUGGCAGCAGUAGGGAAUAUUGGUAAUGUGCGAAAGCGCGAACCAGCAACGCCGCGUGUGCGAAGACGGCCUUCGGGUUGUAAAGCACUUUUCGGGAGGAAGAGGAAGGACUGUACUCCCGGAAUAAGUCUCGGCUAACUACGUGCCAGCAGCCGCGGUCAUACGUAGGAGGCAAACGUUAUCCGGAUUUACUGGGCGUACAGCGCGUGCAGGCUGUUCGGUAAGUUGGGCGUGA